GCAAAUCAAUAUAAAUUGAUUUAUUAUUUAUUUAUUAAUUUUAUUUUUUUUUGUAUUUAAUUUAUUAAAAAUAAUUAUAUAAUUUAAUGUUUUAGUAAUUUUUAAAGAAAAAAUAAAUAUAAUGAUAGUGUAUUAUGUAUUGUGAAAGAUUAUUGAAAUAAUUUGAAAAAUUUUUAUUUUAUAAGAAGUUUUCGUUUAACGUACCUUGUGUGUCAGGGUUUAUCUAAUAAUUAAUAAUUAUUUAUUAAUCUCGAUUUUAUAAGAGUUAAUAAUUUAUAAAAGUUAAUGUAUCAAAAUUAUUUUUAAUAAAUUAUUAGAAAUGAAAUGUUAUUCGUUUAUAAAGGUAUCUAGUUUUUUUAGAAAUAAAUUUAAUUUACAAAUUUUUAAUUUUUUCUUUUUUUAUAUUAAAGUAAAAAUUUAUUAAUUUGAAUAUUUUAAGGGAUAAGCUUUAAAAUAAAGUAUUAAAAAUUAAUAAUUAUUAUUUAAAAUGUAUGUGUAGAAUUAGCAAUCAUUUAUAAGUUUGUUAUAAAUUAUUUUUAUAAUUUAUAUUAUUUAUUAAAUUUUAAUUUAUUUAUAAAAAUUUUUUCAAUAAUUUUUUAGAAAAAUAAUAAUGAUAGAAUUAGUAUAUAUUUAUUGUCAAAUAUGUUUUUAUGUAAAGUUUAUAUAAAGAACUCGGCAAAUAUUUUAUGCCCGCCUGUUUAACAAAAACAUGUCUUUUUGAGUUAAUUUUAAAGUCUAACCUGCCCAAUGAAUAAUUUUUGAAUGGCCGCAGUAUUCUAACUGUGCAAAGGUAGCAUAAUCAUUAGUCUUUUAAUUGAAGGCUGGUAUGAACGGUUGGACGAGGUAUAAGCUGUUUCAUAUAAAUUUAUUAUAGAAUUUUAUAUUUUAGUUAAAAAGCUAAAAUUUUAUUAAAAGACGAGAAGACCCUAUAAAUCUCUAUAUUUUAUUUUAUAUAAAUUUUAUGGAUUAAUUUUAUUUUUAUAUGAUAAUAUAUUUUGUUGGGGUGAUAUUAAAAUUUAAUGAACUUUUAAUUUUAAUAAAUCAUUAAUUUAUGAUUAAUUGAUCCGUUAAUAACGAUUAUAAGAUUAAGUUACUUUAGGGAUAACAGCGUAAUUUUUUUGGAGAGUUCUUAUCGAUAAAAAAGUUUGCGACCUCGAUGUUGGAUUAAGAUAUAUUUUUAGGUGUAGCCGCUUAAAUGUUAAGUCUGUUCGACUUU
rnacentral:rRNA from 1 species